UCCAGCUCUUUCAAGCCUCUCAUCAGGGACAUGUAAGCCUUUUCAUGGUGGUUAUGGAUUGGCUGGUUGGCCAUGGUGAAAAGGAUCGAUGAUCUGAAGGUUGAAUGAAGAGGAGGGAGAGCAGAAUAGCAAAAAAGAUUUUUCCCGACAGGCAAUCCGCCAAAGACACUAUCUGACAGGAGAGAAGAGGGAAUAUAAAUGAGAGCGAGAGCAGGAUUGAGUAUUUCAGGGGAAAUGACAACAGGAGGAGGGACUUCGAUGGCACAACCCAGUGGCAGGCUAUAAAUGGUGCUGGACCAACAAAGGAUUAUCUUAUCCGGAGAUCGAACAUCAGUGGAUACAAUGGAUGACAAUACCUGUCUGUCAAAAUUGUCAGUGUGUAAAUAUUUCACCGCUUACACAUGUGGUUUUGGACGGAGACACGCCCUGCAUGAGACUGUUAUACCGGCUAAUCCUGUUUGUGUAAGUCAGUAUGUAGAUGUUGAGAUACGUGUUUUGUUUCUUAAAGAAAAUAACUAUU